rnacentral:rRNA from 1 species
UACGGAGGGAGCUAGCGUUGUUCGGAAAUACUGGGCGUAAAGCGCACGUAGGCGGCACUGCAAGUCAGGGGUGAAAUCCCGGGGCUCAACCUCGGAACUGCCCUUGAAACUGCAGCGUUAGAAUCUUGGAGAGGCGAGUGGAAUUCCGAGUGUAGAGGUGAAAUUCGUAGAUAUUCGGAAGAACACCAGUGGCGAAGGCGACUCGCUGGACAAGUAUUGACGCUGAGGUGCGAAAGCGUGGGAAGCAAACAGG